CCAAACUUGGUCAUUUAGAGGAAGUAAAAGUCGUAACAAGGUCUCCGUUGGUGAACCAGCGGAGGGAUCAUUACCGAGUUUUCGCAACUCCCAAACCCACUGUGAACCUUACCAACACGUUGCUUCGGCGGGACAGCCCCGGGCCUCCGCGCCCGGAACCAGGCGCCCGCCGGAGGUCUCCCCAAACUCUGUUUUGUCCAAUGGCAUUACUCUGAGUGGCCCGUAGCGGCAAAAAAAAUGAAUCAAAACUUUCAACAACGGAUCUCUUGGUUCUGGCAUCGAUGAAGAACGCAGC
rnacentral:misc_RNA from 1 species